CAGAUCAACCACAAAUACCCAGAGCGACGGCUCCUGGUAGCAGAAUCCUGUGGAGCUCUAGCACCUUACCUUCCAAAAGAAAUUCGUAGUUCAUUAGUACUUUCCAUGCUGCAACAAAUGCUGAUGGAAGAUAAGGCAGAUCUGGUACGAGAAGCUGUGAUCAAAAGCCUUGGCAUCAUUAUGGGCUAUAUUGAUGAUCCAGAUAAAUAUCAGCAGGGUUUUGAGCUGCUGCUUUCUGCUUUAGGAGACCCUUCAGAACGUGUGGUUAGUGCAACUCAUCAGGUAUUUUUACCUGCUUACGCUGCCU